ACAGCAGCAGCCGCGGUAAUACGAAGGGUGCAAGCGUUAAUCGGAAUUACUGGGCGUAAAGCGUGCGUAGGCGGUUUGUUAAGUCUGUUGUGAAAUCCCCGGGCUCAACCUGGGAAUGGCAAUGGAUACUGGCAAGCUAGAGUGUGUCAGAGGAUGGUGGAAUUCCCGGUGUAGCGGUGAAAUGCGUAGAGAUCGGGAGGAACAUCAGUGGCGAAGGCGGCCAUCUGGGACAACACUGACGCUGAGGCACGAAAGCGUGGGGAGCAAACAGGAUUAGAUACCCCCGUAGUCCCUGUCUCUUAUAC
rnacentral:rRNA from 1 species